rnacentral:rRNA from 1 species
UACGGAGGGGGCUAGCGUUGUUCGGAAUUACUGGGCGUAAAGCGCACGUAGGCGGCUUUGUAAGUUAGAGGUGAAAGCCCAGAGCUCAACUCUGGAACUGCCUUUAAGACUGCAUCGCUAGAAUCAUGGAGAGGUGAGUGGAAUUCCGAGUGUAGAGGUGAAAUUCGUAGAUAUUCGGAAGAACACCAGUGGCGAAGGCGACUCACUGGACAUGUAUUGACGCUGAGGUGCGAAAGCGUGGGGAGCAAACAGG